AGGAAUUGAUGGACUCAAUGCAUUUUUUGUAUUGUCAGCACAGAUUGAGACACUUUCGAAGAAGUUGGACGCUUUUGCAGCACAACAUCGUCAAAGUGUGGUGGUUACUUGUGAUUAUUGUGCUGGAAAUCAAUUAAGUCGUCAAUGCACCGUCAGUUUUGAGCCGGUAACAUAUAGUGGUGAUUACCUCAACAACUAUGAUGAGCCUAACUAUCACCGAGAUUGGGGGUAUCACCCGGAUUCUUUAGAGAGCUACAUUUAUGAUGACCAAUAUUACGCUCCAAAUCCAU
rnacentral:lncRNA from 1 species